AGAGACAGCAGUAGCCGCGGGAAUACAGAGGGUGCGAGCGUUAAUCGGAUUUACUGGGCGUAAAGCGUGCGUAGGCGGCUUCUUAAGUCGGAUGUGAAAUCCCUGAGCUUAACUUAGGAAUUGCAUUCGAUACUGGGAAGCUAGAGUAUGGGAGAGGAUGGUAGAAUUCCAGGUGUAGCGGUGAAAUGCGUAGAGAUCUGGAGGAAUACCGAUGGCGAAGGCAGCCAUCUGGCCUAAUACUGACGCUGAGGUACGAAAGCAUGGGGAGCAAACAGGAUUAGAUACCCGUGUAGUCCCUGUCUCUUAUAC
rnacentral:rRNA from 1 species